rnacentral:rRNA from 1 species
AUUGAACGCUGGCGGCGUGCCUAACACACGCAAGUCGAGCGGUAACAGGUGUAGCAAUACAUGCUGACGAGCGGCGAACGGGUGAGUAAUGCUUCGGAAUCUGCCCAUGUAGUAGGGAAUAACCAGCCGAAAGGUUGGCUAAUACCGCAUACGACCCUUGCCCACAAGGCAAAGGUGAAAGCAGGGGAUCGCAAGACCUUGCGCUAUUGGAUGAGCCGAAGUCGGAUUAGCUAGUUGGUAGGGUAACGGCCUACCAAGGCGACGAUCCGUAGCUGGUCUGAGAGGACGACCAGCCACACUGGGACUGAGACACGGCCCAGACUCCUACGGGAGGCAGCAGUGGGGAAUAUUGGACAAUGGGGCAACCCUGAUCCAGCGACGCCGCGUGUGUGAAGAAGGCCUGCGGGUUGUAAAG